GUUUCCCAUGAUCCACUUUGGAGGACCGACCGUAAACAGGAGAAAGCGGAAACAAAAGAGGUUUUAUAAAAACACAAACACAUCCCCGGUUGUCGAAGUACUCAGGGAAUAAACUACAGCCAUUUGGUUCGCCAACAAUAAUAUUGAAAUUUAAAUAAAGAGCGAGUCGACGUGAGUUGAGGAGCAAACUGCAUCUACAUGGCACUGAAAAGAAUACAGAAGGAGCUGCAUGACCUGCAGAGAGACCCACCAGCACAGUGCUCUGCUGGCCCUGUGGGGGAAGACUUGUUUCAUUGGCAAGCAACCAUAAUGGGUCCGGGCGACAGUCCUUACCAAGGAGGAGUUUUCUUUCUCACAAUCCACUUCCCCACCGACUACCCAUUCAAGCCACCGAAGGUAGCAUUCACAACUAAGAUUUAUCACCCGAAUAUAAACAGCAAUGGGAGUAUCUGUUUGGACAUUCUACGGUCACAGUGGUCUCCAGCACUAACAGUGUCUAAAGAAUUUAAAUCUUUAGUUCGUACAGCAUACCUUCCCCUCCCACUUCCCAGUCUAUGCUGACACAGGACACAGAACUCAUCGCUCCUGGUGACUACAAGUAGGGAUAUAUCUGGGGUAGGCUCAUUUUAAACAUCCUUUAUCUACAUGUUAACUAAUAUGAUCUUUUUUAAAUUCCUCUUCAUUCCAGUUUUAUUGUCCAUAUGUUCAUUGCUUUGUGAUCCAAACCCAGACGACCCCUUAGUUCCAGACAUAGCACACAUGUACAAGAACGACAAAGACAAAUACAACAAACUAGCAAAAGAUUGGACCCAAAAGUAUGCCAUGUAAAGAAAAAAAAGAUGAAGAAAAACAUGCUGAGAACUUUUCCUUUUCCUUUUUUUUAUGUCACAACACACUGUAAAUUAUAGUAUGGAAUCAUUACGUAAUCUUAAGUAAUUUUCAUUCAAACAACUGUUAUUAACAUGAUUAUUAAUCUGAGACCAUGACAUACAUUCUUUGUUUUUAUAUGGAAGCAGAAGGUUUUACUUUGAGCAGAAGGGAAAUAUUGCCUAUUGGCAUUUCAUAGAUACUGUGAUAUUUCAAAGUUUGGUAUGUUGUUUGUUUUUGUAUCAAGGAAAUUUUAUUUGAGUUAAUUACAAAUUGCUUCAAAGCAUUCUUCAUUUUUGAAGUAAAACUAGUGGAUUGUAGGUCAUAAAUCCCAACAUAUGCCAUUCAGCAAUAAGCCCUUCUUUUUUUUUUUAAAGGAGCUGAGUAAUAGUGCAGCAGAAGAAUAGCAUACAUGUUAGACAAGCUGCUCCAUAACUGGAAACCCCAGGUUCAGUCCCUGCUGUGCUCAUCAGCAGCCAGCAAGGAAACACAGUGAACCAUGGAAAUGUGGAAGGGUGAAUGCCAAAUAUGUAAGCCCCUUAUUCUGACACAUUUUCAGUGGGUGAUGGAGGUUUUUUUAUAGUUCUUUUGCAUCUUGUAGCAGACCAAGUGGAAUGAAACAAUGUACUGUUGCAGUUUCCCUGAAAAUGGGAGCAAUUACAAGUCAAGGCACGUAGUAAUGUCUUCUUUUUAUUAUAAUUGUUAUUAAUUGUAUAGUAUUACAUUUUUUCAUUUAGAGUUAUCACAAUGUAAAUCUGUCAUUAAAAGUAUGUACUCUUUUCCCCUGACAUUUGCAGUGAUGUUGGCUUUUUGGUUGGAUUUACACAGGCACAAAAAUCAGAUUUUUAACCAUGAAACCUGUACCUAAGGUUUAAUGGGUUCUUCUGUUUGACCUCCGGUCUGUCUGUAUAUCUAUCUAUGCUAUAGAAAUGGUAAAAAUCCCAUUUUGUGUUCCUGUGUAAGCAGUCUCACUUGUGUCUUUGAGGCCUGUGUGGCACCUUUUGUACUGAAUUAAAGAAUGGUACAGUUUUUAUCAUGA